rnacentral:tRNA from 2 species
GGGUUGCUAACUCAACGGUAGAGUACUCGGCUUUUAAACUAGUUCCGGGUUCGAAUCCCGGGCAACCCAUUG